UUUUGUGUACUUUAUAAUCCUGUUAAAAUUGCAUUUGCCUCCAAAAGUAAACACUAGUUCUUAAUACUAUGCUUUUGUAUAUGCUGAUCCCUCUGUUUUGAAUGCAUCCUGAAUCCCUGUCAAAUUUAAUGAAUAUCCACUUAUUUUGAUACUUAGCUAACAUUACAGCCUUCCAGAAAUAUUUUUCCACCUGAGAUAUACAUGACUAUUUCCUCCUUUGUGCCACUACUAUACCACUACUAUAUACUUCUAAUUUAGUUCUAGAACCGUUAUUACGAUGUUUAAAAAUAUAUCUAUCCAUACCUAUACAAUCUUUAGUUUCUUGAAUUUCUUAUAUUCCCGGCUCCUAGCAUAACGUAAGGCAUACAGUGGAUGCUGAGUAAGAGUUCUGGACUAAAUAAUAUAUAAAUGGAUCAUUUCACAAUCUUUUUCCCUAAAAUCUUAUUAUCCCAAGCCCCAACUUCUGGUCACUCCCUCAAGCUAUAGACAUGAAUCCCUGGAGCUUCAGGGGAAUUACUAAGAUUUAUCAUCAGAGAAUCAAUUUAUAAUGGACUUAUCACAACUACAAAGCUCCUUGUAGGAACUCUGAGUGCACAGAUGAAUGCCACAAAAUUAAAUAAUUCAAAUGUCUUUAAAAAUCAAACUUCUCCAGCAAGAAUGAGUAAUUAUUUAAAACUCUUCGAAAGUGGGCCAUAGACUAAUUUAGUAAGUUAGGAUUUUACAACUUAAUUGGACUCAGUGCUAGAAAGAAAGUCUUAGGCCCUUUCCCAACAGCUGUUAGCUAAUGGAGGAGUCAUAUGGAUAUCAUUUGCAUUGUUGAAAUGGUGUCUCUUCUAGCAUCAAAUGGUAUCCUACUUUACGACUUCCAGACACUUUUUUUUUAUUGUUUUCCCCACAGGAAACAUUAUCCAUAUCAAAAUAAAUACUCUGCCUCCCACAUCUGAUUGUUAACCAGAAAAAGCGUAGAUUUACAAUAAUUGUCUGAAUAAUCGUUUCUUAAUUAGUUACCUGUUUUGUGUGAUUUAGUGUGAUCUUGUUUUCCUUGAGAAAUAAUGUUUUAUGUAGUCUUUUCUUGACUUUCUAAAAAAAAGCAGCAGACUAGGUUAAAAAAAAUUCUGUAGGUGAUGGGUUUCACUUGACUGUGAACAUUUCCUGGUGCUUCCCAGGUAUAUAAGACACAGGAUUCAGUUUGCACAAUAAAAAGAAAUACAGUCAUUUCCCCUACAUAGAUCUGGAAUCUACUUGCUUUCCCAUCUCUACUGGCAACUACUCUGCCCAGGCCAAUUUUACUUUCUGCUUGGACACCUGCCAUAGCUUGCUAACUGGACUCCCCAAUUCCUGUUGUGUUUGCAGUGCGUUAUCUAGUAAUCAUAGAAUCCCCCUUCAGACACUUUAAUGGUUCUUAAGAUAAAGAGCUUUGCUGUCCACCUGAACUCUGAGCCCUUGCAGUAUCUGGCUCCUGCUUGCCUCUCUCACCUCGCUGUGCUGCCCACCAGCUGCUCCCUCUGCCCGAAGGUCUGCCAUAUGGACCUUUAUUCAGAUUGGAUCCAAGUCCUUUCUUACUUCAGGGCUUCAACCUUUGCUGUUCUUUUUGCUUAGAACCUUCUUCAAACUCCACCCCUACCAGCUUGGUAAUUCCUAAUCAUUCCUCAUGUUUCAGCUUAAUUAGCACACAUUCAGAGAGCCCUCCCUGUUUCCACACAAAAGUCUGAGCCACACUGGCAUUUGCUUUGAUAAAUAGGCCCCACCGUCCAGAUGACUAGAAAAAAGUUAGUUAAGAAAGUGACAUGAAUUUAAACUUUAAUAUGACAGUGAAUCCAAAACAAAAGCCUUAUUGAAAAUUAGCAGCCUCCAGAAGUUAGUCGAAAUAACAUGAAAGCAAACAUUUUUAAACCUUUGCAACUCACUGAUUUACAUAAUACAAACUUUUAUCAUAAUUUGGGAUGGAGUGUUUUCUAAACUAAAUUACACUGCCGUGGCUUUUAAAAUCAAUCAUAUUAAAUAAAAUUAAUUGCCUCUGUAACUUGGUGCUACAAUUUUAACUGUUAUGUAGAAUCAUACUAAUAAUUGGUAGCAUCUCCAGGGACCUCUAAGAGCUAGUGCCCUUCUUCCUUGAUAAUGUCUUAGUGAGAAAGCAGAGACAUGAAAGAAAGGCUAAAAUAUCAACCUUAUGACUAAUCUGUGCUAAAAUAUCUGGUGUCAAUUUGUGUGAGAGCCAGUUGGACCUGCCUCCUGAACCCCAGAAUCAGGCAUGUUUUUGAAUUCUCUUAACUAAGGUUUUCUUGAGUGCUUCAAUGCUCCCAGUGGAGAAGACACUGUGGAAAAGAAGAGAGCUGAACCCAACAUGGUAAAUUAUUCUCCCUAAAUUUACCAAUAGGUAACUGUGAAAAAACAAUUCUCCAUGGAUUUUUCAUGUACCUGCAUAGGUAGGCAUAGUAGGGCCUUCUUAGCAAAACUUGUUUGGAUAGCAAACAGCCCUGGAAGUCAGAGGUUCAUCCAGAGGAAUUUAAAGAUGUACUUCCCCAGAAUUAUCCUGGAAUAAUAAUUAUAAUGCCCCCACCCCAUUGCCCCUUCCCAGAGACAUUUGCUUUUAUCCCAGGUGAUUCUCUCUCAAGAGCUGAGAAGAGUAGAUGUACUGGCAGGUCCAUGCAAGUCCGUCAGCUUCCUGACGUCAAGGCUCCUCUCCUGAUUUGCAGCCUCUGCAUACACAGAGAGGAAAAGAAGUAACAACAGAUCUAAUCUGGAUCAAAUGGAGGUCUGAAGAGGAUGUUUCAGAGAUGGAGAUGCUGAGACAGUGUUUAUGAGCAGGGCAAUCACAGGAAUGAAGACCGCAGACACUCAGGAGGAUUUUGGAUUAUAAAUGUGAGAGACUGAAUACACAAAGGGAAAAUAGCCAGAUUACAUAUAAAAAUAAAACUCGGACUGACAGCCUGUAGCAACCUGACCAGGAAACCAACCUCGGUGUCUACAAUAAACAGUCCAGGAAGCCAUUCUGCUAUAAAUUAGAAUUACAGGAAUCCAAAUCACUAUCUCUAAUGAUACUCCAAGAAGCUAAACAGAACUUCUGUGACAGUUGGUCCAAAUGCCCAGAACUUGGUUAAUAACAGCUUCUUCAAUUUUUGACUUUGUAUCCAACUUAGGAUCCACAUAUACCCCUAACUGAUCACAUAGGAUGCUCUGGUUCUAGUUAGCCCACCUAUAGCUUCUCCAGAACAACACCUCCAGGUAGGCUGCACCUGAAGCCUUCCCUUUUUCUACUCUAAAGCUUUCCCACUCCUCUGCCUGCUUUUGAGUCUCUAGCAAAGUUCAAAUGAAGGUGUCUGACUCCCUUGUUAUACAGCAAGCUCAGAAUAAAUAGAAUAGCCUUUGUU